AUAGUAGUGUCUAGAGUUUGUAUCCUUGGCGUCCAGGAUGAACGCUGGCGGCGUGCCUAACACAUGCAAGUCGAGCGCGUCUUAUCGGUGCUUGCACUGAGAAAGAUGAGCGGCGGACGGGUGAGUAACGCGUGGAUAACCUGCCCUAUACACAUGGAUAACAUACUGAAAAGUUUACUAAUACAUGAUAAUAUAUAUUUACGGCAUCGUAGAUAUAUCAAAGUGUUAGCGGUAUAGGAUGGACCCGCGUCUGAUUAGCUAGUUGGUGAGAUAACUGCCCACCAAGGCGACGAUCAGUAGCCGACCUGAGAGGGUGAACGGCCACAAGGGGACUGAGACACGGCCCUU
rnacentral:rRNA from 1 species